rnacentral:rRNA from 1 species
UNGUCUGUGAAAUUCCGGGGCUUAACUUCGGGGUGNCAGGCGAUACGGGCAUAACUAGAGUGCUGUAGGGGAGACUGGAAUUCCUGGUGUAGCGGUGGAAUGCGCAGAUAUCAGGAGGAACACCGAUGGCGAAGGCAGGUCUCUGGGCAGUAACUGACGCUGAGGAGCGAAAGCAUGGGGAGCGAACAGGAUUAGAUACCCUGGUAGUCCAUGCUGUAAACGGUGGGCGUUAGGUGUGGGGACCGGUUUGGUUUCUGUGCCGUAGCUAACGCAUUAAGCGCCCCGCCUGGGGAGUACGGCCGCAAGGCUAAAACUCAAAGGAAUUGACGGGGGCCCGCACAAGCGGCGGAGCAUGUGGAUUAAUUCGAUGCAACGCGAAGAACCUUACCUGGGUUUGACAUGCACCAGACGGUUGUAGAGAUACGUACCUCCCUUUGUGGUUGGUGUGCAGGUGGUGCAUGGUUGUCGUCAGCUCGUGUCGUGAGAUGUAGGGUUAAGUCCCGCAACGAGCGCAACCCUUGUCUUAUGUUGCCAGCACUUUGGGUGGGGACUCAUGAGAGACUGCCGGGGUUAACUCGGAGGAAGGUGGGGAUGACGUCAAAUCAUCAUGCCCUUUAUGCCCAGGGCUUCACACAUGCUAUAAUGGUUAGUACAACGCGCGGCAAACCUGUGAGGGUGAGCGAAUCGCUGAAAGCUAAUCUCAGUUCGGAUUGGGGUCUGCAACUCGACCCCAUGAAGUCGGAGUCGCU